rnacentral:rRNA from 1 species
CUCGUAGGCGGCCAACUAAGUCAGACGUGAAAUCCCUCGGCUUAACCGGGAACUGCGUCUGAUACUGGAUGGCUUGAGGUUGGGAGAGGGAUGCGGAAUUCCAGGUGUAGCGGUGAAAUGCGUAGAUAUCUGGAGGAACACCGGUGGCGAAGGCGGCAUCCUGGACCAAUUCUGACGCUGAGGAGCGAAAGCCAGGGGAGCAAACG